UACGUAGGGGGCGAGCGUUGUCCGGAUUUAUUGGGCGUAAAGAGCGUGUAGGCGGUUCGGUAAGUCUGUCGUGAAAUCCUGAGGCUCAACCUCGGGCGUGCGAUGGAUACUGCCGGGCUAGAGGAUGGUAGAGGCGAGUGGAAUUCCCGGUGUAGCGGUGAAAUGCGCAGAUAUCGGGAGGAACACCUAUGGCGAAGGCAGCUCGCUGGGACGUUACUGACGCUGAGACGCGAAAGCGUGGGGAGCAAACAGG
rnacentral:rRNA from 1 species